GUACGAAUUUGUUAACUUACCGUCACCUUGAUCCUCAAUUUUGCAGUUGCUAAUUCAUUCCGCAAAGAAUGAGACAUGCCAAUUACUGCAUAUUUGCUUGCACAGUAAAUACUGACUGGGAAGUUAAUCAUCUCAGCAUUAUGCCCGGCAGUGCUAUAGAAUGAAGCGUCACGAUAACAUUUGUGCUGUGGCAGCGAUGCGAGCUUCGUAUCGCAUUUUACACGACGAUUUGAAUCACAUGAGUUUUUGUGCAUGGAUAAAAAUAAAGAGUCAUAAGUGAACGAGAAGAAGUACAGAAUUUAUAGACGAGAUAAGUUAUGCGACGGGCCACAGAUUUACACGGCGUACUAGGAAAAUUACGCAAGCAUUAAUACACUCGCAAUAUACAUUAGAAGCGAGCAGGCGACUCUAAGAUUAAUUAAUCAUACGCUUUUGUCUGGUACAGUAUGUGUUGAACCAACAGUUUAAUUGGCAGUUCCUGCACGUUUUACAUUAUAUAUCUGACACGAAUAUAUCUGCCUACAAUAAAGUAUCAUAAUGUUAA